CAGGGAGACAACAAAAUGUUUAAUAUUAUUUUGUCACCUUAGGUCGAUCGGUAUCUCACGUUCUUAAUUAAUUAAGAAUUUCAUUUUCUAAGUUUUUCUAGGUCACACCCAUUAUUUUUCCUGGGCCAUUAGCUCAGGUGGUUAGAGCGCACCCCUGAUAAGGGUGAGGUCCCUGGUUCAAGUCCAGGAUGGCCCAUAUCUCUAUGUUGGGGGUAUAGCUCAGUUGGUAGAGCGCCUGCUUUGCAAGCAGGAUGUCAGCGGUUCGAGUCCGCUUACCUCCACUGAUUACCACCUCUUCCAUAAUCCGUAUAAAGGAAAUGUUUUGAGUUGUGAUCAAAUUCUGAACGAAUCUAGCUUCCUAAUAAAAUUAUUAAGAUGCUGGACUCAUUGAAUUAAUUUCAUUGUUUUCAGAGAACCUUGACAACUGCAUAGAUUAUUUUUUUAAAGACAAUAAGCAUCUUUAAUGAUGCAGAUUUAUUAUUUGUGCGAAUGCAUUAAUAACAAUUCUAUUAAGCUGAUGCUUCAAUUUUGAAGUUAUU
rnacentral:tRNA from 1 species